rnacentral:rRNA from 1 species
UACGAAGGGUGCAAGCGUUACUCGGAAUUACUGGGCGUAAAGCGUGCGCAGGCGGUUCGUUGUGUCGGUGGUGAAAUCCCCGGGCUUAACCUGGGAAUGGCCAUGGAAACUGGCGAACUGGAGUGCGGCAGAGGGGGGUGGAAUUCCGCGUGUAGCAGUGGAAUGCGUAGAUAUCGGGAGGAACACCAGUGGCGAAGGCGGUUGCCUGGGGCUUUGCUGACGCUGAUGCGCGAAAGCGUGGGGAGCGAUCCGG